UUGACGUUAGCAACAGAAGAAGCACCGGCUAACUCCGUGCCAGCAGCCGCGGUAAUACGGAGGGUGCGAGCGUUAAUCGGAAUUACUGGGCGUAAAGCGCAUGCAGGCGGUCUGUUAAGCAAGAUGUGAAAGCCCGGGGCUCAACCUCGGAACAGCAUUUUGAACUGGCAGACUAGAGUCUUGUAGAGGGGGGUAGAAUUUCAGGUGUAGCGGUGAAAUGCGUAGAGAUCUGAAGGAAUACCGGUGGCGAAGGCGGCCCCCUGGACAAAGACUGACGCUCAGAUGCGAAAGCGUGGGGAGCAAACAGGAUUAGAUACCCUGGUAGUCCACGCCGUAAACGAUGUCUACUUGGAGGUUGGGACCUUGAGUCCUGGCUUUCGGAGCUAACGCGUUAAGUAGACCGCCUGGGGAGUACGGUCGCAAGAUUAAAACUCAAAUGAAUUGACGGGGGCCCGCACAAGCGGUGGAGCAUGUGGUUUAAUUCGAUGCAACGCGAAGAACCUUACCUACUCUUGACAUCCAGAGAAUUCGCUAGAGAUAGCUUAGUGCCUUCGGGAACUCUGAGACAGGUGCUGCAUGGCUGUCGUCAGCUCGUGUUGUGAAAUGUUGGGUUAAGUCCCGCAACGAGCGCAACCCUUAUCCUUGUUUGCCAG
rnacentral:rRNA from 1 species